GGCCAUGGCUCAAUGGUAGAGCAUCUGCCUUGAAAGCUGAAGUUUCCAAAUUCAAUCUCUGGCAUCUCCA